GACGAACGCUGGCGGCAUGCCUAAUACAUGCAAGUCGAACGCUGAAGCACUCUGCUUGCAGAGUGCGGAUGAGUGGCGAACGGGUGAGUAACACGUGGGAAAUCUGCCUAUAAGAGGGGGAUAACAUUCGGAAACGGAUGCUAAUACCGCAUAUAUUCUUGGACCGCCUGGUCCUUGAAAGAAAGACGGCUUUGCUGUCGCUUAUAGAUGAUCCCGCGGCGUAUUAGUUAGUUGGUGGGGUAAAGGCCUACCAAGACAAUGAUACGUAGCCGACCUGAGAGGGUGAUCGGCCACACUGGGACUGAGACACGGCCCAGACUCCUACGGGAGGCAGCAGUAGGGAAUCUUCCACAAUGGGCGAAAGCCUGAUGAGCAAUGCCGCGUGAAUGAAGAAGGUCUUCGGAUCGUAAAGUUCUGUUAUUAGAGAAGAACAAGUCAAGGAGUAACUGUCUUGACUUUGACGGUACCUAACCAGAAAGACACGGCUAACUACGUG
rnacentral:rRNA from 1 species